rnacentral:misc_RNA from 1 species
AGCAGCCGCGGUAAUUCCAGCCCCAAUAGCGUAUAUUAAAGUUGCUGCAGUUAAAAAGCUCGUAGUUGAAUUUCGGGACUAAUAUGUCGGUCGUGCCUCGGUACGUACUGGUUUAUUGGUUUCUCCUUUCUGAAGAACCAUGAUGUCAUUUAUUUGGUGUCGUGGGGAAUCAGGACUGUUACUUUGAAAAAAUUAGAGUGUUUAAAGCAGGCUCACGCUUGAAUACAUUAGCAUGGAAUAAUGAAAUAGGACGUUUGAUUCUAUUUUGUUGGUUUCUAGGAUCGACGUAAUGAUUAAUAGGGAUAGUUGGGGGCAUUAGUAUUCAAUUGUCAGAGGUGAAAUUCUUGGAUUUAUUGAAGACUAACUACUGCGAAAGCAUUUGCCAAGGAUGUUUUCAUUAAUCAAGAACGAAAGUUAGGGGAUCGAAGACGAUCAGAUACCGUCGUAGUCUUAACCAUAAACUAUGCCGACUAGGGAUCGGAUGAUGUUAAUUUUUUAAUGACUCAUUCGGCGCCUUACG